rnacentral:rRNA from 1 species
UACAGAGGUCUCAAGCGUUGUUCGGAUUCAUUGGGCGUAAAGCGCACGUAGGCGGCUAUUCAAGUCGGGGGUGAAAGCCCGGGGCUCAACCCCGGAACUGCCCUCGAAACUAGGUAGCUAGAAUCUUGGAGAGGUCAGUGGAAUUCCGAGUGUAGAGGUGAAAUUCGUAGAUAUUCGGAAGAACACCAGUGGCGAAGGCGACUGACUGGACAAGUAUUGACGCUGAGGUGCGAAAGCGUGGGGAGCAAACAGG